UCUCUGAAAAGACCCAGUAGUCAGGCAGAUAAAAGGGCAACCCAGAGUCCCCAGGGGUCCUGACAGACAGGGAUCAAAGGAGUAGCUGAUUAGCCAAAGCAAUGUCGCUUUGAUACCAGAAAGAAAGAGUGAGCGACAGAAUGAAACAGACAGAGAGAGAGAAUUCAGAAGGAUGACAGUGUUUCAUCCCAUGUUUCAGCAGAUGUCUUGGUUUACCUGCUACAGAGUCAUCUCUUUGUCCUCUCUGUGAGAGGAAGAGUCAUCUGCCUCCUGCGGUCUGCCAACACACAGACCACCAGGGGAAGUGAGGGAGCGAAAAAAGAAAGAGGAACGGAAAGAUAACUGGAGAGAUUGGACAGUCGGGAGCUUUUGAAGAGAAGAAAGACCGAAUUCUGCCCCAAGAACAGCGAUAACGGACGCGGGGUCCCACUGAGGGAUGAUAGGACAGAGGGGUUUUUAUGAAAUAUGAGAGUGAUUCAAACGUAUAUUUGGUGAACUGCAGUUUUUAAUGCUCAUUUCUUCAUAAAUGCGUACUCUUUCUUUGUGUUUACACUGGCAGGGCAGUUUUGAAUGUUUGCAGAAUGUGUGGACUGUUCCGAAGCCGAGGCUCACAAACUACAUGGUGGACAGUGUUGGGAAAUCUGCGUCCUGUUUAAUGCUUGGCAAACUUCUGCUGGCUGAAAACAUCAGCUAAAGUCCCUCUGGCAUCAAAACCAAAGACUUUGUAGUGUCAAUAUGUCAGUCUUAAGGUUAUCAAAGCUAGCGUGCUCCAUAACAGUAAUAGCAUUCACAUUUAAAAGAUAAAAGCAUUAAAAAAACUUUUAGUUUUUACUUCUUCCAAAAAGAAUCAACAAUUCUUAGGACAUAACUGUGCACAGUAGCUUUCUCACCAACCAAUUUUGUGUUCAAAAGACAUCUAAUAGAUUUCCAAUUAUAGAUGUCUCAGCUUAAACAAGACUAAAUCUAUUAGAUGUCUAACAAUAGUCUAGAAUUAAUUAAAUACACAGGUUAGACAGUCUUUGCGUGUGUAGUUGUUCAUUCCUGCCCAAAUUUAGCCUUGUUUUCUUUAGUCAGCUUUAUUUCUAUAGCGCUUUUUUAAAAUGUAAAUUUGUCAAGCAUGAGAAAAAGAGAAUAAAAGCCAUAACAUAGUUACAGAUAGUGAAAUAUUUCAGCUGAUCAGGCAGGCAGGAGAGUAGAGCCGUAGAAUGGAAAUGAAAGUAGAGUUGUAUUUUAGCUAUGUUUGGACAUUUAUUAGCCAUAUGUUUUUAUGCUUGCUGGAUUUUUCACAUCUAACCAAAUGUUCCUUUCUAUCGAAUUGUCUAACACUUGACUUCUUGUUGAUCAUUUGGUAUCAGAAGUGGUUUACAUGAAAGGAAAGGCCUCUGGAUUACACUUAUUUUACCAAAAUAAAAUAUGAUCAUGCCUU